CCUACGGGUGGCAGCAGUAGGGAAUAUUGCUCAAUGGGCGAAACCCUGAAGCAGCAACGCCGCGUGGAGGAUGAAGGUCUUCGGAUUGUAAACCCCUUUUGUUAGAGAAGAUAAUGACGGUAUCUAACGAAUAAGCACUGGCGAACACCGUGCCAGCAGCCGCGGUAAUACGGCGGGUGCAAGCGUUACUCGGAAUCACUGGGCGUAAAGGGCGCGUAGGCGGGAUAGCAAGUCAGAUGUGAAAUCCUAUGGUUUAACCAUAGAGGUGCAGUUGAAACUGUUAUUCUAGAGUGUGGGAGAGGUAGGUGGAAUUCUUGGUGUAGGGGUGAAAUCCGUAGAGAUCAAGAGGAAUACUGAUUGCGAAGGCGACCUGCUAGAACAUAACUGACGCUGAUGCGCGAAAGCGUGGGGAGCAAACAGGAUUAGAUACCCGAGUAGUC
rnacentral:rRNA from 1 species